rnacentral:rRNA from 1 species
UACGUAGGGGGCAAGCGUUGUCCGGAUUUAUUGGGCGUAAAGAGCGUGUAGGCGGCUGGGUAGGUCCGUUGUGAAAACUCGAGGCUCAACCUCGAGACGCCGAUGGAAACCCUCCAGCUCGAGUCCGGAAGAGGAGAGUGGAAUUCCUGGUGUAGCGGUGAAAUGCGCAGAUAUCAGGAAGAACACCCGUGGCUAAGGCGGCUCUCUAGUACGGUACUGACGCUGAGACGCGAAAGCGUGGGGAGCGAACAGG